GAUGAGAUUUAAGAUAUUUGACUCUUUCACAACACAUUAUAAUAACAUUAUUUGUACUUUACAAUGUGUUUUGUGUUGCAAAUAUUUUAAUUAUUGACUUGCUAAAAUGUGUAACUCAGAGGCUAAAUAACAGAAAUAUAAGUUGGCCUGUUUCUCCACUGGCUGUGAUCGAAAAAAAAUAUAACAUUAAAUUAUAGCUUACAUAGUACUAUAGUUAAAAUCUCUGCAAUGCGUUAAAAAGCCAUAAGCUCAUAAUUUUGCAGCAUAAAGCUCAAAAAUUAUUAUAGCUCUUGCAUAAAAUAAACAAAUACAAAUGACUGCUGUGGAAGCCGUAAUAAAGUCUUUAUACUUUACUAUGGCUUUUAAGCCGUAAUUAUAUAAUUGAACUCACAAGCAUGCAGAGAAUAAGUGAAACAAAAUAAAUAAUAAUUUUGGUUAAGACAGCUUUUAUGGCAAAAGCGAAAUCUUAAAACUGCAUUGAUUAAUAAUAACUCCGCUUUAUUAUGAACUUCACAAAAGCGGAAAAUACGAAGAUUUGUUUAGUGCGGAAAAGAUAAUUUUGAACAUGGGUUGAAGAAUUUUCGCCGACAAAUGUUAACACAAUUCUACAAAAUGUAAUGCAUUGAAACAAGGAACAGCACAAAGAACAGGGAUAAUUGUUUGUGGACACAAGAACAAGCAUUUUUAUUUCACCUUCAAGUUUGACUGUUUUAAACUUUACUUAUCAAUGAGAUUAUAAUAAUUUUAAAUUUUAAAGUGACCUCCCUUUUUCCUGAAGUUGCUUUGUAGUCCAUGGGGACUCAAUACAGCAUUAAAAGAUUAUCAUUAGUGUCCACUGGAAUGAUAUGGAAGUUUCUAAAAGUUUAACAGAAGAUUAAUGGAAAAAGUAUGAAUAAAAUAAUGUAAAGAAUUCACCUAUGGCUGGUGGGCCAAAAGUGGCUUAUAGCAUUCUCAAUUUAGCUCCUGAACUGUCUUAAAUAAAAAAUACUAAGAAAAUAAGAAUACCAGAAAAAAUAUUUUUCCAGCUGUAUUCUGCAUCAUUUACUGAUAUAAUUUGUAAUUUGUCUCUAAUAAUUGGAUUGCAACAAUUUUGUUUUCAAAGUCUUGUUUAUUAUGAUUUCAAAUAUUGAAAAACAUAUAAAAAUAAUUAUAGGUGAGGCCAUCACAUUCGUCUCAUACUGAUUAGUAACAAUUUUCAAUUUUUUUUAUUAAUAGUUUGAAGUAAAUGAAUAUUUUAAUUUCCUGUUUUUUUCUUUUUUUUUCAACUUUUUGCCCUCCUAUGAAUUUGUUAUAAUUGUUGUUUUUUUAUCUACUAUUCAAAAAUGGUUUUUCAUUCAUGGUACUUGAAAAUUAAUUUUUUGGCAUAAAUUAUUUUUAAUAUUUUUUUUUUUUAUAAAUGUUAUCGAUGGCCACUUGUAACACGCAGUUAAAUAAAACAGUUAUUGAGUAAACUUUUUUAUAUUGUUCUUACUCAAAAAAAUAUCAAGUUUAAUACUUUAAAAAUACUUCUUUGAUCUCUUAAUUAAUUUGUAUUAAAAAACAAGUUCAAUAAUAAGUUUUGAGUAAAAAAUAAGUUUUAAGUAAGUUUAAUUUUAAGAAUAUAUUUCUAUAGGAAUCUCAUAGCUUUUAAUUUAGACAUGCAAGUUUUUUCCAUCAUUCAUACAUUUUUUGUUUGUUUAUUUUUUUUUAAAUAUAAAAAUAUUUUUGAGCAGUAUUCUAGUUGAUUCAAUAAAAGCUUAUGUAAAAAAUGUUUGCUUGGAAAAUAUUGAAUUCCUCAUUAAAUCAUGUUCAUAGUUUAA